rnacentral:rRNA from 1 species
AGUGAACGCUGGCGGUAGGCCUAACACAUGCAAGUCGAACGGCAGCACAUUAAUAGCUUGCUCUUACGGGUGGCGAGUGGCGGACGGGUGAGGAAUACCUCGGAAUCUACUUUUUCGUGGGGGAUAACGUAGGGAAACUUACGCUAAUACCGCCUACGACCUACGGGUGAAAGCAGGGGAUCUUCGGACCUUGCGCGAUUGCAUGAGCCGAUGUCGGAUUAGCUAGUUGGCGGGGUAAAGGCCCACCAAGGCGACGAUCCGUAGCUGGGCUGAGAGGAUGAUCAGGCACACUGGAACUGAGACACGGUCCAGACACCUACGGGAGGCAGCAGUGGGGAAUAUUGGAAAAUGGGCGCAAGACUGAUCCAGCCAUACCGCGUGGGUGAAGAAGGCCUUCGGGUUGUAAAGCCCUUUUGUUGGGAAAGAAAAGCAGCAGGUUAAUACCCCGCUGGUCUGACGGUACCCAAAGAAUAAGCACCGGCUAACUUCGUG